GGAUGUGUUUCUCUCUGUCUCUCCCCCUCCCCACUCUUUCUAAACAUCAAUAGAAAAAUAUCCUCGAGUGAGGAUUAUCCCCCAAAAUAAGAAAGAGUCACCAGCUUUUGGCAGCUAUGAAGCUGGGAGAUCCUGACCAGACCAAGGACAUCGGAUCUCAUUGUCCUCCCAGCCCUUCCAACCCUUCCCCAAAGAUCCUCAAUAAGAUGGUUUGACAACCCCCCUGCACCCCCCAAAAAAGAGUCACCAAUAAUAGUUUUUCUCUUCAGACAGCAACACAACCUCAAGUUAGAGGCCAUCAGAGAACUGAGAGGCUAAGAAAAUCUUGAAUUUGCUCAUUUUCUUUCCUUCCGUAAGUAUCUGCAGCAACUGGAACCAAGAUAGGAGUUUCUAGCAGAACGUUGCCUGAAUUGCAAAGCACCUUAAUCACAGAAUUGUACAUAAUCCUUGAUCCUGUGUGUUUUCAUUUUAUGUAAAUUUCCAUUUGCCUCAAAACAUGAUAGUGCUAAGUAAAAACAAAACCAUCUAUUGCUUUUCAUGUAACUGUUUUCACAAGAGUUAUUUUCCUAGGCAGUGAAAAAAGAUUACUGUGUUAAACAUUUUCUCCUCUGCGUCCAUCCCCCAUCCAGUCUGUUCAUUUUUCCUCUUUAUCCUCUUCUCCUUGACUUGGUGAAACCCACACCAUGUGCCUUUAGCUGCUCUGGAAAGUGCACAAAAUGAAGGAGGAGCCAUCAAAGGGCUCCUUGUCACAGCCCAUUGUGUUGUCUAUAGCAUCUCACUGCACUCUCACUGCCUCUCGGGGCUCCCUCUGUCCUGAGGUCUGGGGGUGGCCAGGCUGGAGCAGAUGGCAGUGAGACGACUGGUCUGCACCCCAACCUUCCUGGCACUAUGGCAGUGGAAAG